ACUAUGCCGACUAGGGAUCGGACGAUGUUAUUCUUUGACGCGUUCGGCACCUUUCGAGAAAUCAAAGUGCUUGGGCUCCAGGGGGAGUAUGGUCGCAAGGCUGAAACUUAAAGAAAUUGACGGAAGGGCACCACCAGGGGUGGAACCUGCGGCUUAAUUUGACUCAACACGGGGAAACUCACCAGGUCCAGACACAGUGAGGAUUGACAGAUUGAGAGCUCUUUCUUGAUUCUGUGGGUGGUGGUGCAUGGCCGUUCUUAGUUGGUGGAGUGAUUUGUCUGCUUAAUUGCGAUAACGAACGAGACCUUAACCUGCUAAAUAGCCCGUACUGCUUUGGCAGUUCGCCGGCUUCUUAGAGGGACUAUCGGCUCAAGCCGAUGGAAGUUUGAGGCAAUAACAGGUCUGUGAUGCCCUUAGAUGUCCUGGGCCGCACGCGCGUUACACUGACAGAGCCAGCGAGUAUUUCCUUGACCGGAAGGUCCGGGUAAUCUUGUUAAACUCUGUCGUGCUGGGGAUAG
rnacentral:rRNA from 1 species